GCCUGGCUGGCUCAGUCAGUAGAGCAUGUGACUCUUGAUCUUGGGGUUGUGAGUUCAAGCCCCACAUUAGGCC
rnacentral:tRNA from 1 species